CAGAGAGUAGUUUAUUAAAAAUAUUAAUUUUGGAGAUUAAAGAUAAUUAUUAAUUUUCUCUGA
rnacentral:tRNA from 1 species